GUCAGGGUGCCUAUUAGAAUGGAAGGCCCUUGAAAAAUCCCCAAGCAGGCAAAAGAACAUUGUAAGCAAAGCAACCCCACACUCCAUCUCUUCCUCCUCUCCAGAGAAAACUUCAGGGAAACAAGACGCUGCAGCUAGCACAGUGCCUGGCCUAGUAAAUGUUUGUUGAAUGAAUUAAUUAAUGAAUGCCUAAACAAACACCCUCAUGCCAAGACUUUCUGGGCACACACGGUCAUUUCCCAUCAGAGUCAGUUCCCAGCUGCCGACCAGUCAGAGCCACGGAUGUCCUGCAAGUCACUUGCUUUGCAACUAUCUCCAAAAUAGGUGACCCUGACCGUCAUCUUCUGGGGGCUUCUGUAAACUAGAUUUCUCUUAGAAAUCAAUCAAGGCUUCUCACCUUUCCGAACCCUAUUUCCCCUGAAUGACAGACAGCUACAAGGAAUUAGUCUGGGGCAGAAUGCAUCAGUGCCCCAAAAAGGGGCAGGUGAUUUGACUCAGCUACCUGCUUUGGCUACCACCUAAUGGAGAGCCCAUUGGCUCCUCGGAGACUCAGAUGCCACAGUGGUAAAACAGGAAUCAUAACGCCCACAUCCCACAACCACUGUGGGAAAGAGCAUCAGACUUCCCCUCUGGUAUCACGGCAGCCUGAGCUGAUGGGUCCACCUUCCCUCUUCUGUUAUAAACACAUCAAAUCUUGAAUGACUAUGACCCAAAUGGGACCAUACAUAGCCAAAUGGAAGAAAUAAAGGCCACAGCUCCCAGUACACACAUCUGUGUACAUUUGCAUACACACAUAUGGACACGCAGAAGUGCAACCCACAUACAACUGCACACACACACAAAUACAACCCAUGCACAACUGCACACAAACACAGAGAAGUGCAAUCCACGUACUACUGCACAUAAACACACAGAAAACAACCCACGUGCAACUGCACACAUACAAACACACAGAUAUAUAACCCACGUCCAACUGCAUGCACACAUACACACAUGCAGAAAUGCAACGGAAUGUGUGCAGCAGCAGCAGGGCUGUUCCCUGUGGGCCCAUGGAAAGGAUGCUGGGCGGUUCCCAGAUGCCCUUCCAGGGUCCCUUCCAAAGAACUUCAUGUGCUGGGUUGGGACAUUCCAUUGUCAGCCCGUUUCCUCUGUGGAAGCAGUUUUCUUGGCUCGCUCUGGCACAAGUGAUACAGGCGGAAAGAGCAGUCCCUUCUCACAGUCCAGAGCUUGUUGUGAAAAGGAGUCAGGCGGCCGGGCGCGGUGGCUCAAGCCUGUAAUCUCAGCACUUUGGGAGGCCGAGACGGGCGGAUCACUAGGUCAGGAGAUCAAGACCAUCCUGGCUAACCCGGUGAAACCCCGUCUCUACUAAAAAAUACAAAAAACUAGCCAGGCGACGUGGCAGGCGCCUGUAGUCCCAGCUACUCGGGAGGCUGAGGCAGGAGAAUGGCGUGAACCCGGGAGGCGGAGCUUGCAGUGAGCUGAGAUCCGGCCACUGCACUCCAGCCUGGGCGACAAAGCGAGACUCCGUCUCAAAAAAAAAAAAAAAAGAAAGAAAAGAAAAGGAGUCAGGCCGGAGGGUCCAAGUUUGCAGAACCCAAACCUAGACAUGUUUCAUGAGACAGAAAACCCCACAAGUCCUGGCUUCAGGGAAAAAAAAAAAAAAAA
ensembl:lncRNA